rnacentral:rRNA from 1 species
GCAUAUCAAUAAGCGGAGGAAAAGAAACCAACAGGGAUUGCCUCAGUAACGGCGAGUGAAGCGGCAACAGCUCAAAUUUGAAAUCUGGCCCCCUCGGGGUCCGAGUUGUAAUUUGGAGAGGAUGCUUCGGGUGUGGCCCCGGUCUAAGUUCCUUGGAACAGGACGUCACAGAGGGUGAGAAUCCCGUACGUGCCCGGUGGCCGCCCCCGUGUGAAGCUCCUUCGACGAGUCGAGUUGUUUGGGAAUGCAGCUCAAAAUGGGUGGUAAAUUUCAUCUAAAGCUAAAUAUUGGCCAGAGACCGAUAGCGCACAAGUAGAGUGAUCGAAAGAUGAAAAGCACUUUGGAAAGAGAGUUAAACAGUACGUGAAAUUGUUGAAAGGGAAGCGCUGGCAACCAGACUUGCGCGGGGUCGAUCAUCCGGUGUUCGCACCGGUGCACUCGGCCCCGCGCAGGCCAGCAUCGGUCUGGGCGGCUGGAUAAAGGCCUUGGGAAUGUGGCUCUCUUCGGGGAGUGUUAUAGCCCAAGGUGCAAUGCAGCCCGCCUGGACCGAGGACCGCGCUCCGGCUAGGAUGCUGGCGUAAUGGUUGUCAGCGACCCGUCUUGAAACACGGACCAAGGAGUCUAACAUCUAUGCGAGUGUUUGGGUGUCAAACCCAUACGCGUAAUGAAAGUGAACGGAGGUGAGAACCCUUAAGGGUGCAUCAUCGACCGAUCCUGAUGUCUUCGGAUGGAUUUGAGUAAGAGCAUAGCUGUUGGGACCCGAAAGAUGGUGAACUAUGCCUGAAUAGGGUGAAGCCAGAGGAAACUCUGGUGGAGGCUCGCAGCGGUUCUGACGUGCAAAUCGAUCGUCAAAUUUGGGCAUAGGGGCGAAAGACUAAUCGAACCAUCUAGUAGCUGGUUCCUGCGA